ensembl:lncRNA
GUUUGUUUUGCUGAGGUUCAUGGGAGUGGGUGUUUGCUGGAUGGUUGUCAUUUCUAUGGUAACAACUUUAGAAAUUCCACUGUUUUAAAAAGUAAUAUUGAAAUCUUAAGUGAUUUCUACAAAUGCAUAUAUCAUCACUUAACUUCAGAGAUUAUUGUACAUCUUUCUUGAAAGGUUUUUGUGUCAUUUUUAAAAAUCAUUUUCUUUAUGGAGAAAGUGAAUGAAACGUUUACUCCCAGAACCCAACUGUUAAGCUUCACUGUGUUUUGGGAUGUUUUUUUAUGUGGUUGUGUUUGUGUGUGGAUGUUUGAAAGGACAGAAAUGUAUUGUGGACGGCGAUCAAACAGCAGCCCGCUGGAUUUUCAUCUUCCUGAGGAAUGUUCCGCAAGCCUGAGACACAAACUCCCCAGCACUCAUCAGUUUCUGGCCUACCUCAAUACAAUGUCUGCAUGUCUGGAUGAGUGACAGCUGGUUCGAGGCAUAUUGACAGGCUGUCGCGAUUGAGAGAGGGAUGUGCCUUAGGAGGUGACCGUGUCACUAUGCGUCCCAUCAGUCCUUGGGGUGGCAGAUGGAGGCCUUGGAAGAUAAAACUGCAUCUGUAGGUGGUACCAAGGUGAAAAGAAGAAUAGCUACUUUACUGAGGGUGAGAAAAUCAGAGGCAGUGAUAAUCAAUGGUGGCUUUCUGCCUUGGGAAUUUAUUGUAGUUUUUUGAUUGCAGUUUACUUGGAUUACACAACAUGCAGUUUGAUUGCCCAGACUGUUCUCUAAGGGCAAGCUUGGUUUCUGAUCUCAAGAUACCCUGACUUUAAAGGUGAAAUGUGUUGUUUUUAUUGUAAAUCCUUUCUACUAUUCCAGUUUUAUGUGCAGAGACCCCAGGUUGAGUGCAAAAGCAAGUAUCUUCUGACCUCCAUGUACAUACAUUAUUGUAGUUUCCAACUUCAUCUUCUGCUGGUAUUUUCCACCUUCUUUGACUAGUUCUUAAAGGGAUAGUCUCAGUUCAGUACAAGUUAAGCUAAAUCGACAGCAUGUGUGGUGUGAAGCUGAUUAGCAUAAAAAAUAGUUUCACUUCAUCUAGUGUGCUUUUUCAGAAAAUUCUGGAUUCCAGUGAGAAACUUAGAAUGAAGGUAAAUGGAGCCAGUAAAUGUAAAGAUCAUUAUCAGUCUUAAUUUAAUGUUAUUUGCAUACUAUUAUAGUGUUUUGAAUUAGUUUUUUUUAACUAUUUUCUGAUUUAAUGUUUUAUUAACUUUAUCUUAGCUUUAUUAACUUUUUUUUGUAUUUCUUUUUAGCUUUUUUUGCAUUUUAGGAGUUAUUAAAUUGGUGUAGAAAGAAUGUUCACUCAGAAAUUGCUAGUAUAUUUCACAAAUAAUUACAGAGAAAUAGAAACUAUUGAUAAAAGUGAGUAGAAUUUUCUUGUAAAACAUACUCCAAUAAUUUUGUUUUAUUGACAAAUUAAUCAUUUUUACAGUGUAGUUGCCAAGACAAAGUUUUAAUAUUUAUAUAUUUUAUUUUAUAUUUAUUCAUAUAUCAAAUGAUAGAUUAAAUAUUUGUAUUUUUAUUCUAGCUCUAUUUCAGUUACCAGUAAGCUAUUUUUAACAGUUUAUUAAAAUGACAACACUGCUUAUAAUGUUAUAAAAUCACUUGCAUCAAUCCUGCUGUUGAAAAUUGUGAAAUAUUUGUGCUGUAAAGUUGUUCACGUUCAAUCAAAAACACACAUAUAAUGUUACCAAACAUAUAUUUUCUGGCUAUACCAUAUUUUAACAUUUACGAAUUGGCCUUUCACUGUAACCCACAUAUUUUAAGAAAAAGAGAGACAAGUGGAAACUUUUUUUGUGUUAAUCAAUAUUAUGCCACAAAUUCUGUAGUUUUGUUUCAGCUUAACUUGAACUUGCACUUUCAGCUUUAGUAAGCAC